rnacentral:lncRNA from 1 species
ACAUCCCACAAUUACACAUCUGUAUCUUUCUCUCUACUACUACUAUAAAUAAAGGCACAAUGGGGUGGAAUAGAACACACCCCACGAUUACACAUCUCUAUCUUUCUCUCUACUAUUGCCGCACCUUCCUUCUCUCUCUAGCCUUCAUAAUUGUUUAUUAAAUUAUGCCUACAACACGUUAUCAGCACGUUUUUUACGCUAGGCUAACAAGAGUUUGAUCUUUAAUUAGGGGAGUAUUACGUUUUAAUCAUUCUUUUUAUAAUUAAUUUAUUAUUUUAUUGAAUUGAUCUACAUGCUAUUGAUUCAAUUUAAAUUUUUUUUGUGUUGAACGUGAUACAAAGCAUUGGAGAUGCAAUUCCGACUUUCUGAGAAGGAUCUUCUACAAAUUCAAAGGCUUUUAUUGUUUUUUGCCAAUCAGGUACGUUUAAAAUAAAGUAAGAUGUUUAAAUCGACCUUGAAGCAUGAAAACAUUCCCCAUGAUGCAUGAAACCCCCUAUGUUUAUAUUUUCCUUCCGAUAUAUAUAUAAUGUAUAUGUUCAUAUAUUUGUCAAAAAAUAUAUUUUUUUCAUGCAUUGCACAAUUAAUUUGCUAUGUGGAAUUUGUAAGUCAAUGUUUAUAAAAUAAAGUAGAAGCACAUUUAGGGUUUCCUAAACCCUAAGGGAUUUCGGAAAAAAAAAAAAAGGAAGGGGAAAUUGGACAUAGUGUAGCACACCCACCGCACCAUCACUAUGCAUGUCACAACUUUGGUGGGCCUAAAGCCCUAAGCCCAACUGCACCUUGGCCCGCAACUAUUAACUCGCAUUCACCCAGGCCUGAAGUCUGCUCACUUCGGUGCUAGCCCACACGAUUGGGCUUGGUUCCUGCGGCCCACGCCAGCAAGUUGUCAUGCUUGCUAGGCUUUGUGUCAGCCCCAACCCACAUCGCAUGUCGCCAGCCCAUGUGACUGGGCUCCCUAUGCAAACCCACAGGCCAGCUUUCGCUGGGCCCUAACCUGUGCCCCCUCUUAGCCCCAAUUAUGCCAACACUUGUUACUGGGCUUCA